rnacentral:rRNA from 1 species
ACGAGAGUUUGAUCCCGGCUCAGAAUCAACGCUGGCGGCGCGCCUAACACAUGCAAGUCGAGCGAGAAAGUGGAGCAAUCCAUGAGUAAAGCGGCGCACGGGUGAGUAACACGUGGAUCAUCUACCUUCUGGUGGGGAAUAACCUGGGGAAACCCGGGCUAAUACCGCAUAAGUCCGAGAGGAGAAAGCCGAAAGGCGUCAGAAGAGGAGUCCGCGGCCGAUUAGCUAGUUGGUGAGGUAAUGGCUCACCAAGGCGACGAUCGGUAGCCGGCCUGAGAGGGCACACGGCCACACUGGCACUGAAACACGGGCCAGACUCCUACGGGAGGCAGCAGUGGGGAAUCUUGCACAAUGGGGGAAA